GACCACGUAGCUCUGUUGGCACAGCAUUGGACUAGUAUCCCAAAGGUCGCGGGUUCGAUUCCCACCGUGGCCA